CAAGCGGUUUUAAUCAAAACUACCAACAAAAACAAAUCAUUUGCCU
rfam:Anopheles sinensis unplaced genomic scaffold AS2_scf7180000696056, whole genome shotgun sequence.